rnacentral:lncRNA from 1 species
CUUGUGCCACGGUGGCCCAAAUGUCAGUCAACCAGACAUGUCUUCUGAGAGUUCCCAGGAAUGUGGUGAAGAGCAACUGUAAGCGAUAAGAUUGUUCCCAGCGCUAAUAAAACUUUGGAGUUAAUUAACUGAGAAGAAGGUAAAAUGAAAUGUUGUUAUGAGGGCUAAAGUUGUUUUUCUACCUUUUUGAAAAUUAUUUUUUAUCUGUUGAAAUUAUAAUAUAAUUAUCAUCUCUCCUUCUUUUUGCUCCCCUCUCAGAAAUUAACAGCCUUGAGUUGCAGGUGGAAGGUGCAGAAGCCAAAUUAAAAACAGUCUUUUCAGGCUGAGCUCAGGAGCCUGAAUUUCCAUGCUGUAAGUGGCUGGGAUCCACUGGAGGAUUUUAAUUGUGUAAGUUGACAAGAUCAGAUUUGCUAUUCAGAAAGCACACCCUGGCACAGAUCGGUGGGUGGAAUAGAAAGUGGUUGCCCUGGAGACAGGCAGACCCAUUAGGAAGCUCUGACAAAGAUCCAGGAGAGAGAAAAUGAGGAUAGUGGUUGGAGGAAUGAGCAGAUUCAAAGACAUUUUAGAGGUGGAACGGAUGGUCGGGAGACGCUCAUUCAGUGUAAAUGCUGAAGGAAAGGAAGAACCAAGGAGCGCUGUGGUUUCCAGCUUGGAUUUCUAUAUGGAUAGUGAAUAAUUAAUGAAGAUGUGGCGGGCGGGCAUAAUGGGGACUUAAGAGGGAGGUAGUUGUAGAUGGACGUGAUCAAUAUACAUUUGUUUAAAUGUGUAUAACUUUCAAAGAGUAAGAGAAUUAUUAUUUUAAUAGAUCAAGGUAUAAAAUACAAAAAAAAGUCAAAUGGGGGGGGGGGUUUGCUAAUGAAUUCAUAUGUGACCUGUUGAAUUUGAUGUAUCUUUUGGACUUGUAGGUGAAGAAGUCACAUGUGGUGAAUAUAUUAUCAUCAGAAUGCGGAGCAAUGAAAUGUAAACAGAUAGGAAUCGUCACUAAAGCUCCAACUGCAGCCUCCGGGUGCCAUAGCUUUUGCACCAUCCAUUUGCACCAUCUCUGCAGUAAGUCCUAGCUCAAGCCUUACUCCAAAGUACAAAUUAGCAUAGCAGCUCAGUCAACAAUGCCUCCGAGCUUCUGGAAAGAAAGAUGCUCAGUCACCAUAGACCCAGAAUUAAUGAAAAGUCACAGAAAUAAUAGCUCCAUUCUCUACUUGCUUCUGAACCUCAAAUCAGUGGUUGGCAACAAGUUGCUCUCAAUCACUGCCACGAGUCUGGUGAUGCGCUAAGCUCGGGGCAGGAUCUCAAGGGCUUUGAGGAUGUCUGCAUCAUCUGUAUUGACCUGCUCCCCAGAUUAAUACCGAAGCACUGCAAUUUCUUGAGGAUUAUCCACCUAGGAGGAAAUGAUACGCUGGCCCAUCCAUAGUAGUCAAGGGAACCACCAUCUCAGAUGGUAGAAACCACUCAGAAGGAUCAACUGCUGCAGACGGGAAGAGGAGCAACCUCGUGAAUAAUUUCGUGACAGGAUAUUGCAGGAGGGACUUUGUCCAAAUGUGUGCAGGGUAGUUGGCUACAGCAACAAGGAUGACGAACACAGAUGAAUUGAUCAGGAUGUAACCAUUCAAAGUUGAGAGGAUUAGAGGACUUCUCCGAGGCGGCUCCAAUGGAUGCCAGCAGAGUUAAAGUGUCCAAUGGAGAGAAGAGAAGGCUUGGGAAAUCCAGAGUCCAUUCAUUCAUCGCCCUCCUCCUAGAACAACAAAAGCGAGCCCCAGUACUCAUCAGCAUGGACUCUGUGUGUAGUCAUCUCCCUUAGUUUCAGAGGUUCCUGCCUACAGCAAAACUUUAGAGGCUUAGAGUUUAACGGUCAUAGCUUAUUCACCUCCAACUGUGUCCUAGUUCAAGAGAAACACUUCACAUAUCUGUAGGGAGAAGAUAAUGAACCAAGGAUACAAGUUAAGCCUUAGCUAAGACCUGUUACUCAGGAAAAAGAGCUAAAACAAGCUGCUUAGAUCAGCACCAAUGUUAGGUAGAGAGAAAAAGAAACGCUGCAUAGAAAUCUUAAGGUUCACAUGUGCUCCAGGCUGGGUCAACAACUUCUAAUUUCCUUUGCCAACCAACCAUGUCUUUGACAGAAAUGAUCCUUCUACAUAGACCACAGAGGGAUCCAAUGGAGGUUUCUCUUCCUGAAUUUGGGGAUUCAGAAUCUGGACAAAUUCCUUUCCAUCAAAGUCCAGUACAAAAGUAGUACCAUGGCAGUCCCUGCAGGGACUUGCAUCACUUUCCCUAGAGAUAUCAAGAGAAUUUUUAGUGAUAAGAAUAUGGCACAAAAUGAGAAAUCCCAUUACUCUUAAGAGAAUCUCUUCCUUCUCAAAGGCACCUGAUUAAUACAUAUAGUACUAUCAGUAAGGCUGAGCAAAAGGAUACUGAUGUUCUGAGUGAUCUUAAAUCAUGUAAUAAUAACUUUAUUCGUAGUAUAGAACGGAAUAUUCCCUAUUAGUAAUCAGUUCCUUUGCCAGAUCCUCAUAGUAUCUUAGUCACUGUUUUAUUGUUAUGAAGAGAAACUUUGACCACAGCACCUCUUAGAAAAAAGGAAGCAUUUAAUCGGGACUUCCUUAUGGUUUCACAGUUUUACAUAAUUGUCAACAUGGCAGAGAACAUGGGGGCACGCAAACAGACAUGGUGCUGGAGAAGUAGCGGAGAAUAUACAGCAACAUAUAGAUACAAAAUAUAGAUACAUAUAGAUACAGAAUAUAGAUACAUAUAGCUACAUAUAGAUCUGCAGGCAGCAGGAAGAGACUGGGACAAGGCCAUACCUUCUAAGGCUUCUCAAGGAGUGUCACUUCCUGAUGACCAAGCAUUCAAGUGUAUGAGCUUAUGGGAGCCAUUCUUAUUCAAGCCACCACACAUAGCAAAGCUGAUAAUGUCAUUUUCUGAAUUAACCAGGCCAAGGCACACUUCUUAGCAACAUGGUUACCUGGUAACCAGAGAUUUUUCUCAUCCCAUGAGAGAUUUCAUUCAAGAACUGAUCUUCUAACAGUUUUGUCUCUCUUAAGAAUGCUACAGACAGGGUGGGGUGAGGCACAGUGCUGAAGCCCCUCAAGUUUCCCAGAGGGAUGAGUCCAUGAAAGACGAAAAUCAUGUGGUCACACUGAGCAUAGACUUCACAAGCAUCAUGCUAGGAUUCCAUUUUCUUUCUCAACACAAUGAUAAAUUCUUCUUCCAAUAAGCAGAAAAUCAUCCAAUGGGAAAAAAAAAUAAAACCAACUAACUUGCAGUCCUUUGGAACAGUUUCAUAGCUUACAGGAUGGCUUCAUAACCCUGGGGACACUCGUUUUGACAUGAAAACUUCCUUCAGAACAGGAAUUCUGAUCCAACAUGUGCUCAGACAUCAUUUCAGUCACUUGCAAAUGAACAAGAAAGCUCAUGUAAAUGAGGAGGCUCAACUCCCAGGCCUGGUGAGUGGGUAAGACAUUCCUCUGCUGGGUUUUGAAGGCUGUCUGAAACCAUCGGCUGACAUCCUUCUCUGUGUGCAUGUAUGCACUAUCUACGGGAAAUUCAGCUCCAACCGGUUGUCUCUACAGCUCCCUUAAUCUUCUCCUCCCUCCUCCUGGCAUUGGCAUGUGUCCCAGGACUGCAGCGAGGAGUGCUUACCAACAAAGGUGCUGGCAUCUGCAUUUGUUUCACAGCCACAAACCUAAUGGUUCCAUGAUUUUGGCGAGCAAAACUGUCAAAAUGCCUGAGCACAAGAGAUCACAAGAUGAGCCAAGGCAUAGUGUGCAUGCCUUCCUUCCCAGCACUCGGAAGGCAGAGGCAAGGGGAUCUCUGUGGGUUCAAGGCCAGCCUGAAUCACAAGGUGUACUGGGGAUUCUUUUUUAUUGUUUUCCUUUUGCUAUCUGGAAUAGUUUGAGAUUGUAUUUGAUCAGUGCAUUAAACAAC